rnacentral:misc_RNA from 1 species
GAUGAAGAACGCAGCGAAAUGCGAUAAGUAAUGUGAAUUGCAGAAUUCAGUGAAUCAUCGAAUCUUUGAACGCACCUUGCACCCUUUGGUAUUCCGAAGGGUAUGCUCGUUUGAGUGUCAUUGUACUCUCACACUUCUAAUUCCUUUCGGGAUUGGGAGCGGUGGACUUGGGUGUUGCUGCUUUAGUUGUGGCUCACCUCAAAUAAGUUAGUGCAACUCUUGGUUGGACAUAGUACGGCGUGAUAAGUGUCUUCGCCGGCGCCUCUGUAAGGAGGGUGGCCGAUCGGGAGCUCUGUGCUUAAAACCGUCUUCGGACAAUCUUUGACAACUUGACCUCAAAUCGAGUAGGACUACCCGCUGAACUUAAGCAUAUCAAUAAGCGGAGGA